AUGAACUACCAUCCACGUGGGGUUCUCUGGCACAGGCCAAGUCUGAGGAAGCUGUGUCCGUGGGAAAGUCCAGAACCUAUCAAGAGGGCAAUUUGGAAAAAUGCUGCAGAGGAAGAAGGCUACACCAAUGAGAGAAUGGAUUUCUUCCUUCCACAGCUAGCAAGAGAAUACCCAAACGCGCCCGUGGGAACUAGAGACAGUGGACGAGCUAGACCUGCACCGUUUGUGUACGGGAGAUACUCAGCUGACUCCCUCCUGUCAUUUGGAACGUGGAAAAAUCCUGGCGUUGAACAAGGUGGAGACCGAGGGCCUCACAUACCAGCUAAUCUACCUGGCUGGGCUGGCCAGCAUGACAGCGAUUUGCAUUUCUGCUCCAAGAGAUGUAGGAGGUGAUUGCCAAUGAGACCUGCUGUCUAGAGACCUAGACCGAUUCCUUCUGCGGCCUCCUUUCCAAAUGGUGAACGGUUCCAUAAGAGACUGAUGGCGACUGCUAAAACCUCUCUGCCCUGAAGCCAGCAAGGUAAGACAUUUGACAGUGUCCCCUUCAUAUGUAGGUAUUCUAUAGUCAGUAAGGGACCCUCAUGCGCAGGGAGGAGGGGAGGGACGCUCACUCUGAUGCUUCCCUUUGAAACAAACAAGAACAAAACAGACAGACAGACAGACAGACAGACGCACAGCCAGGAAUAUACAGAAGAGUGGUGCAAGGGCCCAGGGGAGCACACUUCAGUGAGUCCCUAAGCGCACCUCAGUGCUGGGAGAGCACAGCCCCCCCCAAUCACACGCACACCACACUACCCCAGAGACGCUCCAUUUCAGCCAGUG
rnacentral:lncRNA from 1 species